rnacentral:rRNA from 1 species
UGUCGUCAGCUCGUGUCGUGAGAUGUUGGGCUAAGUCCCGCAACGAGCGCAACCCCUAUCCUCAGUUGCCAUCAUUAAGGUUGGGCACUCUGGUGGAGACUGCCGGUAGUCAAACCGGAGGAAGGUGGGGAUGACGUCAAGUCCUCAUGGCCCUUAUGACCAGGGCUACACACGUGCUACAAUGGCCGGUACAAAGGGCUGCGAACCCGCGAGGGGGAGCGAAUCCCAAAAAGCCGCUCUCAGUUCGGAUUGCAGGCUGCAACUCGCCUGCAUGAAGCCGGAAUCGCUAGUAAUCGCGGAUCAGCAUGCCGCGGUGAAUACGUUCCCGGGCCUU